rnacentral:rRNA from 1 species
UACGGAGGGUGCAAGCGUUGUUCGGAAUCAUUGGGCGUAAAGCGCGUGUAGGCGGCUUGGUAAGUCGGGUGUGAAAUCCCGGGGCCCAACCCCGGAACUGCAUUCGAAACUGCCUCGCUAGAGUCCCGGAGAGGAAGGCGGAAUUCCCGGUGUAGAGGUGAAAUUCGUAGAUAUCGGGAGGAACACCAGCGGCGAAGGCGGCCUUCUGGACGGUGACUGACGCUGAGACGCGAAAGCGUGGGGAGCAACAGG